AUAUGGACUAACUAAGACCUCAGAUGCAACCAAAAUAACUGAUUUUUGCCAAAAGGUAAGAGGCAAUAUAAUCCAAUAAACAAAUGUUCCGACACAGGAACAUAAGCAGAUUGUAGAAAAUGACUUAAAUAAUGAAGAAGAAGGAAUAAUUUGGUGCAUUGCUGGCACCAAACAUACUGGAGAAGAUUGCUCCUUUUCCGUAGGAGAAAAUAAAGAGCGAUCAGCAACCCUCUCAGCCACGUUUUGCUUAUGUGUACGAGAAGCCUGAGUGGGUGUGUAUCUGUACAGGAUUUCACCAUAUGCUGUGGACUGAGAGAAUAAUAGCCCUCUUUACGCUCCAUUAUCCUGAUAAAAAAUGGCAGUGUGAACGGGCUAAUAGAUGAGCAGCUAAAUUUGACCACGCUGUUUACUCCUUCUGAGCAAAACCAAUGCGAGCUUUAGAAUAUGCUUAUCAAGUUACAUAUUAAUCACCUCGGGGCUGAAUUCGAGAUCAUUCAGUUUCUCUUGAACUCUGACCACGUGUAGAAACAGAUCUAUUAAGAUGCAUGGGGCGAGGGAGAGUUUCAAGAGAGAAGCUCCCUUUUGUUCUGAGGGAAUUCGUGAAGAAAAAAAAAAGAAAGAAAAGCUCUCGGUGUGUGUAAAGACUGUGAAUUUAGAGUCCGACGGAGCCAAGACCACCCCGGCAUUCAACGAGCCGGGCUAAAGAGCGCAGGAUGGAGUGAAAAGAGCAGGAGAGACAGAGGGAGCUUAACAUUUGUGUCUCCAGGUCACUAAAGUGGCCAGCUUUAGCAGGAGAGAUAACAGGAUUACUGCAAUCAUGGCCAAAGUUUUCUAUGACUUCAACCCCCUUUCAUUUCCUUCCCCACCCCCCACCCCCUGUCCUACUGGCACAAACCGGAGCUGGAGCUGUGAUGGACUUGGGCCGGGCUCCACUGGGAAACAAGAGACACUCGUACAGCUAAUCUCCUCAGCCUGGUGCUGACAGAAAGAGCCAUCCACAGACCGCGGUGGUGUGCCCUACCUUUGUGCGAGCGGGUCAGCCAUUACAGCCAGCCCAAGUGGAUUCUAGUGGAAGAGCCACUUGUGGCUGUGGGUGGUGACAGUGGAGGAGAGAGGAGCAGCUUUUGAGAGCGACUGAGAGAAACAUAAUCACACAUCAAAACACUCAGGUUGGUACAUUAACUGACCUUAAAGACAUCUUGAGUGUCGUCCAUGCAGUACACCCUGAUGUUGUACUCCAGCGUAGAGCAGUAGGCGUCGGAGAAAAGGACCAGCCUCAGGCGUUUGGCUGCGCCCAUGUGCAGUGACUCUCCCACCAGGGCGAAGGUGCCCAGCUGCUCGGUGAACAGGCGGCACGUCUCGGCCUCGAGCUGGCAGUAAUAAGGCUCUGACACCAACUCCUCCCCCAUCAGCAGGACGUCCUGGAGGACAGAAGAAAGGAACACAAGAUGUGGACGGAAGGUCAAGCACCCAAUUUAUGUAGGAGGGAAGGGUAAUGUGUUCGGCUCGUUGCCUGAUGUAUGUGUAGGAGUGUGUUUGCAGAGGGCUUGUUAGUAAAGUGGCGCAGCAGCAAGGACCCAAACUACAUUGUUCCUGCGGUGUGACAUCUAAGCCGAAGGUCUUCAGGGUAAUGUUACAUAAAGUUCUAGGCAGCAGUUCGGAUCAGAGGAAAAGCAUAUACUUUGUUCUUGCUUUAGAUUGCCUUUUUUCACCACAGGGACACUUACUACACGGAAAAAUAAAGCCACAUUCUUCUCAUACAAAAGCACACGUCCUAUAGAAUACCAUUGGUUUGCUUAAUAAUGCAUGAUAAAGAUCCUCCAUUGACAUGAAAGGAGACCCGAAUGGAUUCCUGGCAAGGACAGAUAGUGGAGGAAUAAAGUAAUGUGGAGUUGCAGUGAUUAAUGGAUUAUUGGUGUUUUUUUGAAUUUUCUUCCAUGUUUUUCUUUCGAGAUUCGAUGAGAAAGCUGAAAACAACUCGCCAAUUUAUCUGUACUGAUGCCUGUAAAAGUGUUAAAAACAACCUG